UACGAAGGGGGCUAGCGUUGCUCGGAAUCACUGGGCGUAAAGCGCACGUAGGCGGAUUGUUAAGUCAGGGGUGAAAUCCUGGAGCUCAACUCCAGAACUGCCUUUGAUACUGGCGAUCUUGAGUCCGGGAGAGGUGAGUGGAACUGCGAGUGUAGAGGUGAAAUUCGUAGAUAUUCGCAAGAACACCAGUGGCGAAGGCGGACUCACUGGCCCGGUACUGACGCUGAGGUGCGAAAGCGUGGGGAG
rnacentral:rRNA from 1 species